AAACCAGCACCUCAAGUGGUCAGGAUGAUUAUUGGGCCUAAAGCAUCCGUAGCCUGCUCUGUAAGUUUUCGGUUAAAUCUGUACGCUCAACGUACAGGCUGUCGGGAAUACUGCAGAGCUAGGGAGUGGGAGAGGUAGACGGUACUCGGGAGGAAGUGGUAAAAUGCUUUGAUCUCUCGAUGACCACCUGUGGCGAAGGCGGUCUACCAGAACACGUCCGACGGUGAGGGAUGAAAGCUGGGGGAGCAAACCGGAUUAGAAACCCUGGUAGUCC
rnacentral:rRNA from 1 species